ensembl:ncRNA F13B12.15 ncRNA
AGAAGGCGUGGUAACGUUUGAUAGCAACGAAGAGAAAGUGUAAACCAGAACUGUUUAAUAUUGCAGUAAUUGUCUCUUUAGAGAUUCUUUACGUUGAUAAGUGGAGGGCAAAGACGUUGUCUCUUUCCAUUAGCAAACAUAGAAAUGUUGUUUCCUAAUAUCUUUAACAAGUUUUUUUCUACUCCACUUUAACUUAUAACGAGCUCAUAACCAGU